CAUAAGUAGCAAUGGGAGUUUUCAGAAUUCUGAAUAAUUAUUAAGAGUAUAACUAAGAGCCUCGCUGUUUUGUUUUGUUGAACAGCUGGAGAAAAGUAGAAA